rnacentral:lncRNA from 1 species
UCCCAUCGCUGUCUCCCCUUUCACCUCCCCUAUCCCUUUCUCUUUUCCUUCGAAGCAGCGUGCAACUCCUUCGGUCUUCUGCUCUUGCUUUGCUUUCAUUUUUUUUCUUUCGAAUCCGCAGCUCCAUCUUCUUUCGGUUUCCCUUUGAAGCAGCGCCACUUGUCCGCGUCUUCACCCUACUCAGUCAACUACCAGCGACGAAGACCGCGUGCAUCUCCACCGCUCCACCUUGAUUCUGCUCCUCCACCAAGAUUUGUCUCCGCUGAGUCAGCCCUCCUCAAACGGAAACUCCCACAACACUGACUUCGCUGCUCCUCUCCUUCGUCCGUUCCUGCCCGCACGCUUCCACCGAAGCUUUCUGCCCCCACCGAAUUGCUUCAAUCCAGCUAUCAUUCGUUCACUCCUCCAGCGAAGCCUUCACCCCAGCAGCUCCCACCGAUUCUUCUCCCCAGUCGAGACCACGAUGCCAGCAAUUCCAGUCGGCCAGCCACUCGAAGCCCUGCAGCAACCCAAUCCAGCUGAAUUCACGCCUGCAGUAGCUCAGCCCACGCAAUUUUCCAGCCCACCAAAUCGAGUGCAGUAGCCCAGCCCGUGAGCUUCAGCCCACCGAAGCCAACCAUCUUCCGCCGCAAGCCCAGCCGCAGUUUAGCCCAAAACCAAGCCCAGCAGCUUGCUAUGGGCUUGCAAGCCAUUUUUGGCCCGGUCCAACCUCUGUUGGUGCCGCCAAAAGUUCAAGUUUCAGCCGCCAUCGCAGUGAACCGAUUUUUGCGCUAAACCGGUGAGUUUAUGCACUAAACUCUACUUAGGAUGCUAAUGACAUUUAAGGGAUGUUUAGUUUAAGUUAAUUAGAGCUUAGGUGAUUAGUUAGAUUAAAUUAGUGACUUAAUUAUUUGAUUUUGCAUGUUAGGUGGUUAGAGUAGCAUAAUUAGAGACUAGAUUAGUUGUAUUAUUUAUCUAGAUUGGUUCGGGAAUUUUCCGGACCCGUUUUGGUAUUUAAUUAUGCUUUUCCAGCAUAAGUUUGCAUUUAUGGUAUUAUUUAAUUAAUUUUCUGUAAUUAUUUAAUUAUUAAAAAAAAUUCUGGAAAUUAGACCGGGAUAGCUAGUGAUCGGAAUUUCGUGCUGAUUGCAAUGGUGUGCUUGGUUUAUUUAAUUGAAUGUUGUAUUGUGCAAAUUGAGUGAAAGUUGGAAAUUUGGGUAAUUAUCCCAAAAUUAAGUAAUUUCAGUAAUUAAUUAGAAAAUAUCGGGCGUUGGUUUACAAUGCUAAAAAUGUUCUUAUGGACUAUAUUAAAUAGUGGGAUUUUCCAAAAGAAAUAUAUUAUAUUUUUGGCUCAU